rnacentral:rRNA from 1 species
ACGGAAGGCAGCAGUGGGGAAUAUUGGGCAAUGGGCGAACGCCUGACCCAGCAACGCCGCGUGAGGGAAGAAGGGUUUCGGCUCGUAAACCUCUGUCCUAUGGACGAAGAAGUGACGGUACCAUAGGAGGAAGCUCCGGCUAACUACGUGCCAGCAGCCGCGGUAAUACGUAGGGAGCGAGCGUUGUCCGGAAUGAUUGGGCGUAAAGGGCGCGUAGGCGGCCCGGUAAGUCUGGAGUGAAAGUCCUGCUUUCAAGGUGGGAAUUGCUUUGGAUACUGUCGGGCUGGAGUACAGGAGAGGAAAGCGGAAUUACCGGUGUAGCGGUGAAAUGCGUAGAGAUCGGUAGGAACACCAGUGGCGAAGGCGGCUUUCUGGACUGAAACUGACGCUGAGGCGCGAAAGCGUGGGGAGCAAACAGGAUUAGAUACCCUGGUA